rnacentral:misc_RNA from 1 species
UCUCCGUUGGUGAACCAGCGGAGGGAUCAUUACAGGAUUCGCAAGAACUCCCGUAACCACUGUGAACCUUACCUUCUGUUGCCUCGGCGGAGCCUACCCUGUCGCUACCCUAUAAGGUGGCUACCCUGUAGCGCCCCGCCGGUGGAUUUUCAAACUCUUGUUAUUUAUUGUAAUCUGAGAGUCUUAUUUUAAAUAAGUCAAAACUUUCAACAACGGAUCUCUUGGUUCUGGCAUCGAUGAGAACGCAGC